AAUGACAAAAGAUAACCAAACAUCAAACCAGAAGUGUCAUCCAGUUAAGAACCACCCCACGAUCAGACAUCUGGAAAUUGAAGAGUAUAUCUAUAAGCACGGGAAACUCUAGGUAGAAGAGAAAAUGUAUAGAAAUAAAAAUACUAUUAUGUACUCCCUUUGCCACCCUCGAUUAACACAAUAUCAAUGACUCAUCAAAGAUCUGUCCGCGUCCAAAAACCAGACCAAGAUAGCCCCCACAUUAAGCUCCUACAGUGAUGGAAUCAAAACCUAUUUUGUAUCUCCUGUCACAGGGUAGGCCCAAAACAAUAUCCAAGUCUAUAUAACAACAAAAGAAUAUAAUAGAGAGAUCAAAUGCAACCAAUUAUGAACCCAGAACUGCCUUCCAGUUAAGCUUGAUUAAGAACCAAACAACGAUCAGGCAUCUGGAAAUCGAAGAGAAUAACAAUAAGCACGGGAAAGUCAAGAUGGAAGAUAAAUUGUAGCAGAAUUAAUACAAUACUAUACUCCCUCUGACACCCUCGAUAAACAUUAUAUCAGUGACAGCAUCAAAAGUUGAUGUCUCCAGUAACUAGACCAAGAUUAGCCCCACCAUAAGCUGCUUCUUUCACAACUUAAUUUUUAACUCCUGUCACAAGGUGAGGCAGAAAACAAUAUCCACGUCUACGUAACAAAUAAAAGAUUGUUGAAACUGACAAAAGAUAACCAAGCAUACCAGAAGUGCCUUCCAGUUAAGAACCACACAACAAUCAGACAUCUGGAAAUUGAAGAGUAUAACUAUUAGCACGGGAAACUCUAGGUAGAAGAGAAAAUGUAGGUAGAAAAAAAAUACUAUUAGUACUCCCUUUACCACCCACUAUUAACACUAUAUCAAUGACAGCAUGAAGGAUUUGUCAGUGUCCAAAAACCAGACCAAGACAGCCCCCACCUUAAGCUCCUACUUGAUAGAAUCAGAACCUAUUUUGUAUCUCCUAUCACAGGGUGAGGCUGAAACCAACAUCCGAGUCUAAAUAACAACAAAAGAACUACAAUAGAGAGAGCAAAGGUAACCAACUAUCAAACCCGAACUGCCGUCCAGUUAAGCUUGAUUAAGAACCACACAACGAUCGGGCAUCUGGAAAUGAAGAGAAUAACGAUAAGCACCGGAAGGUCUAGAUGGAAGAUAAAUUGUAUAGAAGAAAUACUAUACUAUACUCCCUCUGCCACCCUCGAUAAACACACUAUAUAGUGACCACGUCAAAGGAUUGACUUGUGUGCAAUAACUUGACUAAGAUUAGCCCUACCUUAAGCUCCUACUUGAUAAAAUUAAAACUUAAUUUUUAUCUCAUGUCAUAGGGUGGGGCAGAAAACAAUAUCCACGUCUAUGUAGCAAACAAAAUUGUUGAACUGACAAAAGAUAACCAAACAUCAAACAGAAGUGUCUCCAGUUAAGAACCACCCCACGAUCAGACAUCUGGAAAUUGAAGAGUAUAUCUAUAAGCACGGGAAACUCGAGGUAGAAGAGAAAAUGUAGUAGAAUAAAAAUACUAUUAUGUACUCCCUUUGCCACCCUCGAUUAACACAAUAUCAAUGACUACAUCAAAGAUCUGUCGCGUCCAAAAACCAGACCAAGAUAGCCCCCACAUUAAGCUCCUACAGUGAUGGAAUCAAAACCUAUUUUGUAUCUCCUGUCACAGGGUAGGCUCAAAACAAUAUCCAAGUCUAUAUAACAACAAAAGAAAUAUAAUAGAGAGAUCAAAUGCAACCAAUUAUGAACCCAGAACUGCCUUCCAGUUAAGCUUGAUUAAGAACCAAACAACGAUCAGGCAUCUGGAAAUCGAAGAGAAUAACAAUAAGCACGGGAAAGUCAAGAUGGAAGAUAAAUUGUAGCAGAAUUAAUACAAUACUAUACUCCCUCUGACACCCUCGAUAAACAUUAUAUCAGUGACAGCAUCAAAAGUUGAUAGUCUCCAUAACUAGACCAAGAUUAGCCCCACCAUAAGUGCUUCUUUCACAACUUAAUUUUUAACCCCUGUCACAAGGUGAGGCAGAAAACAAUAUCCACGUCUACGUAACAAAUAAAAGAUUGUUGAAACUGACAAAAGAUAACCAAGCAUACCAGAAGUGCCUUCCAGUUAAGAACCACACAACA
rnacentral:lncRNA from 1 species